UACGUAGGGUGCAAGCGUUAAUCGGAAUUACUGGGCGUAAAGCGUGCGCAGGCGGUUUUGUAAGUCUGUCGUGAAAGCCCCGGGCUCAACCUGGGAAUUGCGAUGGAGACUGCAAGGCUUGAAUCUGGCAGAGGGGGGUAGAAUUCCACGUGUAGCAGUGAAAUGCGUAGAGAUGUGGAGGAACACCGAUGGCGAAGGCAGCCCCCUGGGUCAAGAUUGGCGCUCAUGCACGAAGGCGUGGGGAGCAAACAGG
rnacentral:rRNA from 1 species